rnacentral:rRNA from 1 species
GAUCCUGGCUCAGGAUGAACGCUAGCUACAGGCUUAACACAUGCAAGUCGAGGGGCAGCAUGAACUUAGCUUGCUAAGUUUGAUGGCGACCGGCGCACGGGUGAGUAACACGUAUACCUAACCUUCCGUUUACUCAGGGAUAGCCUUUCGAAAGAAAGAUUAAUACCUGAUAGUAUGGUGAGAUUGCAUGAUAACACCAUUAAAGAUUUAUUGGUAAACGAUGGGGAUGCGUUCCAUUAGGUAGUAGGCGGGGUAACGGCCCACCUAGCCUGCGAUGGAUAGGGGUUCUGAGAGGAAGGUCCCCCACAUUGGAACUGAGACACGGUCCAAACUCCUACGGGAGGCAGCAGUGAGGAAUAUUGGUCAAUGGACGAGAGUCUGAACCAGCCAAGUAGCGUGCAGGAUGACGGCCCUAUGGGUUGUAAACUGCUUUUAUAAGGGAAUAAAGUGAGUCUCGUGAGACUUUUUGCAUGUACCUUAUGAAUAAGGACCGGCUAAUUCCGUG